UACGUAGGGGGCAAGCGUUGUCCGGAUUUACUGGGCGUAAAGAGCGUGUAGGCGGCUAGAUAGGUCCGUUGUGAAAACUCGAGGCUCAACCUCGAGACGUCGAUGGAAACCAUCUGGCUAGAGUCCGGAAGAGGAGAGUGGAAUUCCUGGUGUAGCGGUGAAAUGCGCAGAUAUCAGGAAGAACACCCGUGGCGAAGGCGGCUCUCUGGUACGUGACUGACGCUGAGACACGAAAGCGUGGGGAGCAAACAGG
rnacentral:rRNA from 1 species